GAUGAACGCUGGCGGCGUGCCUAAUACAUGCAAGUCGAGCGAACGGACGAGAAGCUUGCUUCUCUGAUGUUAGCGGCGGACGGGUGAGUAACACGUGGAUAACCUACCUAUAAGACUGGGAUAACUUCGGGAAACCGGAGCUAAUACCGGAUGAUAUUUUGAACCGCAUGGUUCAAAAGUGAAAGACGGUCUUGCUGUCACUUAUAGAUGGAUCCGCGCUGCAUUAGCUAGUUGGUAAGGUAACGGCUUACCAAGGCAACGAUGCAUAGCCGACCGGAGAGGGUGAUCGGCCACACUGGAGCUGAGACACGGUCCAGACUCCUGCGGGAGGCAGCAGUAGGGAAUCUUCCGCAAUGGGCGAAAGCCUGACGGAGCAACGCCGCGUGAGUGAUGAAGGUCUUCGGAUCGUAAAACUCUGUUAUUAGGGAAGAACAUAUGUGUAAGUAACUGUGCACAUCUUGACGGUACCUAAUCAGAAAGCCACGGCUAACUACGUG
rnacentral:rRNA from 1 species